rnacentral:rRNA from 1 species
UACGUAGGUGACAAGCGUUGUCCGGAUUUACUGGGCGUAAAGAGCGCGCAGGCGGUCGAUCAAGUCGAGUGUGAAAGCCCCCGGCUCAACUGGGGAGGGUCAUUCGAUACUGAUCGACUCGAAGGCAGGAGAGGGUAGUGGAAUUCCCGGUGUAGUGGUGAAAUGCGUAGAUAUCGGGAGGAACACCAGUGGCGAAGGCGGUUCUCUGGGAAUGACCUGACGCUGAGGAGCGAAAGUGUGGGGA